UGUGAGGCUAGGACAAAAUAUUGUAUGCGGAGGUUCUUUGUAAAGUAUAAAGUCCACUAGACUUUAAAAUAUUUUUGUUAGAAGGCAGUCGAGCAAGAGCAGAUGACGGCCUGGACUUCGGAGUCAGACACGAAUUUCAAGUCUGAUCCUGGCUGAUGUUGGAUAGUCAGUUUUGCUUGACGCUUGGGCAAAAUGGGGUACCAGGGUUUGGAGACUAACCAAAAAAACAUAAUUUCAGGUAAAGGAUGUUUUAUGAGCAAAGGUAUGGAAGUGAAAACGGGAAAGGUUAAGUCUUGAGGCGGAAAACCAGUAUUGAGACCAUUGCUGUAUUCCAGUUAAGCGAUAAGAGUCUUAACGGUAUUGGCAGUGGGAAUCUAGGGAAAGGAAUGGACGUGAGUGCUAUUAAGGUGGUAGAAUUGACAGUACUGAGCGGGGGAUACGUGAGUAGGCCAAGUUUCUAGUGUGGAUGCCGGAGUAGAUGGUGGAACGGGUGGAACCGUUUCACAAGAUGAGAAGAUGAGUCUGGGUUAUCCACAAGUCUCUGUACUAAGUUAAUAGAUAGUGGUGUUGACAGUCUUGAAGGUUGAUCAGAUUUGUGGGAUGAGACGAUGAUGAGUUCAAAUAUAGAUAUAUUUGUGGGGGAAACCGUCUCCACUCAUAAGGUCUCUUUCCAGGUGAAGUGAAUCCAUUAAGAUAACACUCCUGGCCUCUCACUGCGCAUUCUCCAGCUCCCUCCUCCCUCAAGCAGUAACUUCCUGAUUGAUGAAUGUAAAAGGAGAAACCUGGGGCGCCUGAGUGGCUCAGUAGAUUAAGUGGUUAAGUGGUUAAGCAUCUGACUGUUGGUUUCAGCUCAGGUCAUGACCUCACAGUUUGUAGGUUCAAGCCUUGCAUGGGCAGGGUGCAAUGCUCUAGUGUUCUCCUGUUCUGAAAGACCAGGACCUGGGGUGAGUUUGAGAUGCCUGGUUCAGGGUUACAAAGUUAGUAAACCUAUUUAAUUUCAGAGGUUGGCAUUGUGAAGCUCACUGUCCACAGCAGUAUCAGAUACCAGCUUUGCCAGUUGUAUUAUACAGAGUAAUGUCCCCCCUCCCCAAGGAUGUUCAUGCCCUAAUCCCCAGAAUCUGUGACUAUGUUCCCUCCCUUACAUGGCAAAAGGGACUUUGCAGAUAGUGAUUAAGUUAAGAAUCUUGAGAUGGAGAGAUUAUUUUAGAUGAUCUAGCUGGGCUUGGAGGCAGGAAGGUCAAAAUCAGGGAUAGAGCUAUGAUGAUGGAAACAAAGGUCAGAGACAAAGAGAGAUUUGAAGAAUCUGCACUGCUGGUAUUGAAGAUGGAGCCAAGGAAGGCAGACAGGUCUGGAAGAUGGGAAAGGCGAGGAAAUGGAUUCUUCCAUAAAGCCGCCAGAAAGAACGCAGCUCUGCCAAUACCUUGAUUUUAGAGCAGUUCUGAUUUCCAGAACUCUAAGGCAAUGUGAAUUAUAUAACUGGCUGUUGUCUCCUUUUGCUUUGACUGCCAAGAAGCUCUGAGUAAAUUUGUGGCUCAGCAUUAGCAACUGGGUUGGCCUGCAUGUCUGUAUUCUGUUGGCUUGAAAUUUUUCAAAAUAAAAUGUUGGGGGGAAAAUCA